UACGGAGGGUGCGAGCGUUGUCCGGAAUCAUUGGGCGUAAAGGGCGCGUAGGUGGCUUCUUAAGCGUGCGGUGAAAGCCUGGGGCUCAACCCCGGGUCGGCCGUGCGAACUGGGGGGCUGGAGCACUGUAGAGGCAGGCGGAAUUCCGGGUGUAGCGGUGGAAUGCGUAGAGAUCCGGAAGAACACCGGUGGCGAAGGCGGCCUGCUGGGCAGUUGCUGACACUGAGGCGCGACAGCGUGGGGGAGCAAACAGGG
rnacentral:rRNA from 1 species